rnacentral:rRNA from 1 species
CAUGCAGUCGAGCGAUGAAGCCCUUCGGGGUGAAUUAGCGGCGGACGGGUGAGUAACACGUGGGUAACCUGCCUUAUAGAGGGGAAUAGCCUUCCGAAAGGAAGAUUAAUACCGCAUAACAUGUUUUUAUCGCAUGGUAGAAACAUCAAAGGAGUAAUCCGCUAUAAGAUGGACCCGCGGCGCAUUAGCUAGUUGGUGAGGUAACGGCCCACCAAGGCGACGAUGCGUAGCCGACCUGAGAGGGUGAUCGGCCACAUUGGAACUGAGACACGGUCCAGACUCCUACGGGAGGCAGCAGUGGGGAAUAUUGCGCAAUGGGGGAAACCCUGACGCAGCAACGCCGCGUGAAUGAAGAAGGCCUUAGGGUUGUAAAGUUCUGUUUUCUGGGACGAUAAUGACGGUACCAGAGGAGGAAGCCACGGCUAACUACGUGCCAGCAGCCGCGGUAAUACGUAGGUGGCAAGCGUUGUCCGGAUUUACUGGGCGUAAAGGAUGCGUAGGCGGAUGUUUAAGUGAGAUGUGAAAUACCCGAGCUCAACUUGGGUGCUGCAUUUCAAACUGGAUAUCUAGAGUGCAGGAGAGGAAAGCGGAAUUCCUAGUGUAGCGGUGAAAUGCGUAGAGAUUAGGAAGAACACCAGUGGCGAAGCGGCUUUCUGGACUGUAACUGACGCUGAGGCAUGAAAGCGUGGGGAGCAAACAGGAUUAGAUACCCUGAUAGUCCACGCCGUAAACGAUGAAUACUAGUGUAGGAGGUAUCGACUCCUUCUGUGCCGCAGUUAACACAAUAAGUAUUCCGCCUGGGGAGUACGAUCGCAGAUUAAAACUCAAAGGAAUUG